rnacentral:misc_RNA from 1 species
UUUCCGUAGGUGAACCUGCGGAAGGAUCAUUCAUAAUAAGUGUUUUAUGGCACUUUUUUAAAUCCAUAUCCACCUUGUGUGCAAUGUCAGGGUUGAUUUUUCUCUCGAGAGGAUCAACCCCAAACAUCAACUAUAUCUCGACUCUUUGUCUGAAAAAUAUUAUGAAUAAAACAAUUCAAAAUACAACUCUCAACAACGGAUCUCUUGGCUCUC